rnacentral:lncRNA from 1 species
CCCAGCACAACAUUUUCAGCCCAAUCCAUCUAGAAGAGUAUUUCUUAACCUUAGUUUGUGCUAUGUGCAUCUCCACGGGGAAAUAAACCGUUAAAGGCCAGAAGGAAGCUGCUCCGAUAAGACCCAAGAUGGCGUUGAAGAAAGGGAAUAUCAUAGCUACUAAAGUUGUUAUAACCACAUAAGCUGUCCUCCACACUAGCUAUUACUAAAUAUUUUUUCUUUAAAGAAGGACUCCGGGUUAGCCUAAUGUCAUAAUCGAAGAUAUCGUCUCAAUGUUGUCGAUAUCCUAAUCGAAAUAAGAGCAUUUCCAAAAAAACCUCUGUAUUUUAGAAUUUCCAAAACUCUAUUUUGAAGUUUCAAAGUGUUCUUCUCCAAAGCAAAACUUUUAAUAUAACUUCAAAAUUAUUUGUAAUUUACACUGUGGUCUUUAUAUUUAUCAUAAUUAAUAUAAAUCCAUAAAAAUUUAUAAGUAACUAGCACAUAUGUAAAAAUAUUACAGUAAUAUUAAUUAAUAAAAUCUUACACUAAAAUAUAAAAUAUAAUUAAAUAAUUAAAUGUUAAUACAAGCAAAAUACAAAAUUAUUCCAUAAAAUAGUUUGGUUACACAAAACUUGUUUGGACAAUAUUCUAGAGGUUUCGGAGAAAAUUUACAAGACUACUAUUGUUGUUGUAAUAUUUAAAUUUCCGUAGUAAUUGUGUUUUCUGCAUCUUUUUAAAAUGUCUUUUAUUAAGUUUCUUUUGUAACAUUUUUGUUGUUUAAUUAUAGUCUUACAAUAUUAUAAAUCUUAUUUUAAUUUUUUUUUAAUUUAAUGUGUAAAAUUUGAAGUUAUAAAAUUAAAUUUGAAAUAUUUCUGAUAUACAAAAAUUUUAAAGAUUAAAAUGAUAAAUGAAAAAAUACUUAAGAAUCAUAAAUGUGAUGUAUAAUUAAUUAUAAUGACUAAAAUGCAAAUACCAUAUGAAAAUUCAAAUUUAGAGUUUUGAGUAGUGAAACUUCCUUAAAACUCGAAAUUUAAAGUUUUUAAGUUCUUUUUUUAAGAGCAAAAAAUUAUAUAUUUGAAGUUAUAGAGUUUCUUUUGGAAAUGCUCUAAGUUAGAUAUUUGGUACAAUAUACAAUUAACGAGUAUAAAUAAACAUGAACAGACUUGAUAUUGUUAUUACCUAACAGGCUUUUCAUCGUUAGAAAAUGGGAAAAAAUAUGCAAUUGUGUGGCAACCUUUGAUAUAAAAACUAGAGUUGUAUCCCUUAAACCGCCGUUUUGUAUCAGAUUUCAAUUUAUUAAUAAAAUUUAAGCUUUAGAAAACUAAAGGCAGAAACAGUUAUUUUGGCCUCACAUCCCUAAAAUAUUAGGACCGACCUAGUUGCUGGUUUGGUUGAAGACUUGAAGUAAAAUCUGUUACCCAAUUUGCGAGAAACAAAAUGGAAAAAGAAGGCGAGAGGUAAUCAUCGCGAGGAAGAACAAAACUUUGAAGAUUAGUUAAGAGCUCCCAACUUGAUAAUUAUUUUAUAAUUGUUUAUGCUUGGAUAGCUUGGAUAGCUUGGAUUGAAAGCGAACUAUUUUUUUGGACUCUAAUCGUAGGUGGAAGGUCAGUUGAAAAUGUUCUUAUUCAAAUUAAUGGCUAUCCAGUUAGUACAAUAACUAGUAAAUGCAAACGUAUUUUAAAAGUGAUAUGUACCGAAAUUUUCAUUAAGAUAGUGCCUACGUAUUGAAAAUGUUACAUCUUUGCUUCAACGAUUAUCCAUCAGCAUCAAAUAUACAAACUCACCUCAUCAGUUUCCCCCUAAUUAUGUGAUUUAUUUGCUGAUUAAAAACCAGUGACAGGGAGAAAAACAAGACAGCGAAAAACAAGAUAAUGGUUUUAGUCAUACAUACCUUCAAGCUUGGUGAAUGGUGAUGCAGCUGGUCAGUAUCUAUAUACACACAUCUAUUUAUGUUUAGAGAAAACUACAUGUUAAGCACAUUUUACUAGGUUCCUUUCACACAAAGAAAAUUUUUAGUUAUAAACCCCAGCCUGGAGUUUCUUAUACUUGAAAAGCGCAUGAUUGCUUAUGAAUAUCCGCAGUUGAGGAAGCACGAGAAAAAUUAUCCUAUCAUGACUUGGAAAUUGCAUCUUUUGUGUUUGCACUCAAGAUUUUGAUGGUCAUACAUGUAUGGGGAAAAAGUUAUGGUGUUCAUGGCCCAUAAAAAUCUUAAGUACAUUUUCACUCAACCCCUUGAUGGAUAGAUCGCAUUUUUGUAGACAUUGGUCAAUCGACCGAGUGCGCAUUGAGAUCAUUCGAUGGCGACCAUUUUGUCGCCUUUUGGAUUAUAUGAGCAUAUAAAAUACAAAAUUAUGUAGAUGCGUCGCUUUUACCAAUAGAUGAAAGACUUUCCACUAAUAAGAUUGAGCUCUUUUUUAACAAAUGAUAGGUAAUUUAUUUAGCUUCAUAUGCCAGAUGUUUGAGGUCCAUCUAAUGGUGCAAUGAUAAGUGCCAAGGUUGAGCUGAUCCAAUCAAGAAGCAGUGAUGAUGUGGAGGUGGAGUAACAACUUUAGGCAAGAGAGUUUGCUGAGUCUUGAGUUGUAUAUCGUUUAGACUAUAAAUAAUGAGUCUAAGAGAGGUUGGCCAUUUACUGGGAAAUUGUGUGGGACACUGAGAGAGAUCUUAUGUGUAUAGGCUCAAGGUCUCCUUGAGAUCUUGAGAUUGUAACUGGUUCGAUUAGAGUAACAAUAGAAUGCUGUGCUCUAUCAGGCAACCAAAAUUUAUGUUCGUUUACUGAAGACAAAUCAUAAUUUUCCAUGACUCUUUUUUCAAACAUCAUAUUUACAUUCUGUCCAUUUGUUUUUUUUUUUGCACUCAAAACUACAAACAAACUUUUUUAUAUUGUUUAAUUCUUUUCUCUUGAAGAAUUUAGAGUAACAUUAGUUUGUGGAUUUGAUCCCUAAUAUAUUAAUGCAAUUUGAUGUACAAGUACAUUUAAAGAUAACUUGAUGAUAUCAACUCGCAAAUAAAAAACAGUAAAUUUCGUUCUUAUAAAUCGCAAAAUGGUUCGUACCAAGAAAACCCACCGGACGAAAGCGGUGACGAAAACCACACAGGUUCCGUCCAUGAACUGUGGCGUUGAGAGAGAUCAGAAAAGAAUUGAGAUUUUGAUCCGAAAGCUUACGUUCCAGAGAAUCAAGGGGGAGAGGGCUUAAGAGAAGAAGAAACGAAACAAAUGGAUUCUGCAAGUACAUGAGAUUCAUUGUCUCUCUUCGGACAUGGGCUAUGUUCGUAUGGUUUAUACAUGAUCAAUCAAAUUUGAAAAAGCUAUUAUUGGGUCAUAUGUAUUACACUGAAAGUUGUGGAUGAUACAUAGACAUUCAUGUAGCUUUUUAAGCAAUACAAUAUUUUCAUUUGGAUUUUAGACACCAAACAGUUACAAAGAAAAUACCAAACUGUUACAUUUUUUCACUCUCAUGCAUGGAUCUCAAACUCACUCAUGGAUAGUCCGGAAGGGCUUGUAUGUCUUCACACUACUUAUCAGUCCAGCGAUGGAUCCAGCAGCAGCUAACAGGGAGACGAUCAAGCAAACCCAGCACAACAUUUUCAGCCCAAUCCAUCUAGGAGAGUAUUUCUUAACCUUAGUUUGUGCUAUGUGCAUCUCCACGGGGAAAUAAACAGUUAAAGGCCAGAAGGAAGCUGCUCCGAUAAGACCCAAGAUGGCGUUGAAGAAAGGGAAUAUCAUAGCUACUAAAGUUGUUAUAACCACAUAAGCUGUCCUCCACACUAGUCUGAAGAGGUUGAUGUUGAAUUUUCCAAGGAAUGGUAUGUUUAC